rnacentral:lncRNA from 1 species
AUGGACGACUACGAGAUGGAUGAUCGCCACAUGGAUGGUCUGGAGGGCGACGAUGAUGAUCAGCCAUCUCCUGGCGAGGCCAACUUCUCCAUCGACGCCGACGCCACGACGAUGCCCACACCAAAUUCCGACAACCAGCCAUCUACCAGAAGAGCGGAGUGUUGGCGGCACUUCGAAGUAUUCACCGAGAUGGUUGAUGUAUACCUCAUGCUCAAUGCAAAUAUUGCGACAAAAUUUAAUUUUGUCUACAGCUACUUCUUCAGCGACAUGCCAUCUCAACCGGCAUUACUUGGCGCAUCUCAAGAACAAGGCGCCGGCGACAGACACAAUUGUCCUUCGGCCCUGACGGUUCACACCCACCAACUGUUCGAUGAAAUGUCAAGCCCAUUGGAGGUGUUUGAGGAAGACGUUCUUCUUGUCAUGAGUGAGGAGAACAUCACAUGGGAUGAAGCACUCCAUCUGUUACAAGAGGAACUGAAGGAUACCCAAUGUAGAUUUGAUGAGAAGCUAGAUCGUUUUUUGGAGGUGUUCGGCUUGAUGGGAGACAAGAGCAAUCAAUCUGAGGAAGACAAAAGGAGCAAUGAAUCUGAGGAAUUCAGUGCCUCCAUCAAGGAGCUCACCCCCACCACCGAGGCUGCUGCAUUUCAAUCACCCCAAGCAUCACCUUCUUCAGCGCCCACCAAGUGUUCGAUAAUUUGCUUUGGCCUCGACACCAUGUCUGACCUCAACAUGGCAGCAGCAGUUGUGUGCGCCACCACUUCUCUGGCCUCCAUGGAGUUAGUGGCUGGAGGGAACGCAACCUGUGAACCCUACGUUGACACCCCUGGUCAUCCCAAGGAGACGCAUGUCAAGUGUUCGAUGGUUGGCCUUGAGGUCAAGGGUGGCACCGACCACACCAGGGUCACAUGCCAGACCAUGAUGGGUGUGCCUGACGGCGUUCUAGUACCUGAUGCAUCAUCCAAGGUCUUCUCGCCAUGGUUGAUUGUUGAAAUGGACCUUGUUCCCUUGCUGCUCACUGUGUGUUCGAUGAAAUGUUCCAAAGACAAGAAGAAGCUGCUACUGGGGAAUGCUAAGAGAAAUUCAUGGACACCUUCUUGGGUGGGCGGAGUGAUUAGACGAUGGGAGUUGCAGCCUUUGCCAUGGCCUGGAUCCAAAUUAUAUUGGGAAGGUUUACCAUUGAUGCCCCCAUGGCCACCACAGACUCGAGUAAGCUUCCUGGCAUGUGAGACUUUUGAUAUUGGAGCUCUAGUCAUUGGAACAGUGAUUUUAACACAAGCGAUGGUUGAGAUAAAACCAUGGCCUCCACCAAGUGAAGUAAGUGGUCUUCCCUUACUUCCAAUUCAAAGUAUUGGAGCAUUUCAUACUGAGAGGAAAGUUACAGACUUGCAUUGGGCUGAGUUGAAAGCUUGGUCUCUGUUUGAUGAAAAUGGUACCAGCCACAUCCUAACAGAUGAGCCGUGUGAGCUUUACUUGGGUUGUGUAAUUUUCACUGCUGGAAACACUAGGAACCUUGAAAAGCUUGAGUUUAUAAGGUGGACCAAGUGGCAACAACAACUUUUUGCAGAAAGGGAUUAUCCUAAUAGUGCUGAAGGGAAUCAAUUAAUUGCUUGGAAUUUUAAGCAGUACAUUGAUGGAGGAGUGCUUUCCUUUGUUGCUAUAAAGUUGUCAAUCCAGCCAACAAACGUUGAGCAAAUCAGUCAGUACAUUGUUCAAUAUUCAAGUAUUGGGAGAGAAUUGGAUUUCUAUCAUAAAUUGCAUACACUUGCUCAAGUUAUUGGGAGAAAGGAUUCCUUACUUCAGCUAUCUGAACCCCAGUUAACAUCAUGUAAAGUUGGACAAAAUACUGAGAAGGGUGGAUGGUGUCUUAUCAUGGACAAGAGAUGCUCAGAUUUUUUCAAGCUUCUGGCAUUGUUAGAUGGGAAAUGGGAAGCUAUCAGACAUGCAAUGGUUUAUCUUAUCACAAAGCUAAUUCACAUAUCACCAAGGAAUGCACCCUUUAGAUCAACAAUCAAUUAUCUGCUGGGAGGUAAUAAUCUUGUGGUUCUACACAAAUCAAUUGUUGGGAUCCACUUGGGAUGGUGGGUGUUUCCUUGUGACAUUGGAGUGAGACCCCUGGAAAAAUUGGUGAGGAGAUUAGCACACGUCAGCCCGCACGACAACUCCACCAUGCGGCCCCUCCCAUGGAACUCGUCGGCGGAGUGCAUGACCGACUGCGGGCACUUGGUCGCCUCCUCCUCCUCGGCGGACGGCGACUCGAAGGCGGCGGUGUCGAGGUCGUCGAGUUCCGCGAACACGCGCGUGCCUGUCUCGACGGCGCCGGCAAUCGGGCAGCGGAGUGGGCCGGCGCGCGACGUGUUGAGGAGGCCAAGGUCGAGGCCAGAGACCAUCCCCGAGAGGCGCCGGCCGCGUGCGGAAGGCCCCGAGAGUGACGCGGACGCCGCCAGGCGAGGCUCCUUCGCCGAGCGCGCCGGGGCCGCCCGCACCCCGCCGCCGGCGAGCCAGGAUCGGUGGGCGUCGAGGGAGAGAAAGAGGGCGGAGUCGGCGCGGGUGGGAGGCGUGAUCUGGGCGGCGGAUGGGAGGGAGGUGCACAAGAGAGGCGCGAUUUGGAGCAGUUUUUCAUUUGCUGUAACAUCGGGCAUCUGGACAUCCCAACACCAAAGAACAUCUUACCUUAGUGUUGUUCUUCAUUAUCUUGACAACAAUCAGUCGUUAAAUAAGAGUCAUAGGAUUCAAACUCAUGGUGUCACACACGAGAUAUGCCAUAGCCACGACAAUCCUAGAGGCAUGAUUGUUCUGGAUAAAUUGUUAAACAAAAUUCGUCGUUCUGUUCGUAUCAUAGGAGGUAAUACAGUGGUCAAAGCGAGGUUCCAGGACUACUGUAAAGCGAAGAAGAAACCUGGACGGAUGUUUGGCAUUGAUGUCGAAUAUAGGUGGAAUACAACAUACCUGUUGCUGCGACAGUUAAAAGGUGGGGUUGAUUAUUCUGAAGCUUUUCAACAUGUCAAUGAUAAGCUCUAUAGGGUUUUCUGUCUAUACCAAACCAAGCUUGGUGGUACUCCCCGAGUUCCCAAGCAGACCUCACAAAAGAAAGCAAGCAAGUCAAGUGCAGUAAAUUUGUGGAAGCAGUAUAUAGGCAACGACCAAGCCUCUUCAUCCUCAGAGAACAAAUCAACAUGGAACCCAAAUUUAGAGCUUAACCACUACCUCGUCACCAAUCAUACUGAGCAUGAUAUGACGCUUGAUGGCGACGAU